rnacentral:snRNA from 1 species
GAAACUGAGGGUGAUCUGGCUGUGACAUCUGUCACCCCACUGAUCACCAGGGUUGAUUGGGCUGAUCUGACUGGCUAGACAGAUGUCCCCUUUCUCUCUCAAUGCUCCAUGUGCAUCCCUCCCAAAGCUGUGUGCUUGGUGGAAGAAGAUCACCACCCCCGAUAGAGGAGAACCAUUCCUCGGUCAAGGGUAUACGAGUAGCUGUGCUCCACUUCUAGAACCUCCAAACAAGCUCUCAAAAUUAAUUUUAAAAAAAUUAACACAGGGGCUUGGGAUUUAGCUCAGCGGCAAAGCGCCUGCCUGGCAAGCGC